rnacentral:rRNA from 1 species
UACGAAGGGGGCUAGCGUUGUUCGGAAUUACUGGGCGUAAAGCGUGCGCAGGCGGUUCGUUAUGUCCGAUGUGAAAGCCCCGAGCUCAACUUGGGAAUGGCAUUGGAAACUGGCGGGCUGGAGUGUGGCAGAGGGGGGUGGAAUUCCACGUGUAGCAGUGAAAUGCGUAGAGAUGUGGAGGAACACCGAUGGCGAAGGCAGCCCCCUGGGCCAACACUGACGCUCAGGCACGAAAGCGUGGGGAGCAAACAGG